rnacentral:rRNA from 1 species
UACGUAGGGUGCAAGCGUUAAUCGGAAUUACUGGGCGUAAAGCGUGCGCAGGCGGUUUUGUAAGUCUGUCGUGAAAGCCCUGGGCUCAACUCAGGAAGUGCACUCGAAACUGACAGGCUUGAAUAUGGAAGAGGGUCGCGGAAUUCCCGGUGUAGAGGUGAAAUUCGUAGAUAUCGGGAGGAACACCAGUGGCGAAGGCGGCGACCUGGGCCAAUAUUGACGCUGAGGUGCGAAAGCGUGGGGAGCAAACAGG